UACGAAGGGGGCUAGCGUUGCUCGGAAUUACUGGGCGUAAAGCGCACGUAGGCGGCUUUCUAAGUCGGGGGUGAAAUCCUGGAGCUCAACUCCAGAACUGCCUUCGAUACUGGAGAGCUUGAGUCCGGGAGAGGUGAGUGGAACUGCGAGUGUAGAGGUGAAAUUCGUAGAUAUUCGCAAGAACACCAGUGGCGAAGGCGGCUCACUGGCCCGAUACUGACGCUGAGGCACGAAAAGUGUGGGGGAUCAAACAGG
rnacentral:rRNA from 1 species